CCUACGGGAGGCAGCAGUAAGGAAUAUUGGUCAAUGGACGCAAGUCUGAACCAGCCAUGCCGCGUGAAGGAUGAAGGUCCUCUGGAUUGUAAACUUCUUUUAUCUGGGACGAAAAAAGGGAAUUCUUUCCCACUUGACGGUACCAGAGGAAUAAGCACCGGCUAACUCCGUGCCAGCAGCCGCGGUAAUACGGAGGGUGCAAGCGUUAUCCGGAUUCACUGGGUUUAAAGGGUGCGUAGGUGGGCAGGUAAGUCAGUGGUGAAAUCUUCGAGCUUAACUCGGAAACUGCCAUUGAUACUAUCUGUCUUGAAUAUCCUGGAGGUGAGCGGAAUAUGUCAUGUAGCGGUGAAAUGCUUAGAUAUGACAUAGAACACCAAUUGCGAAGGCAGCUCACUACGGGAUGAUUGACGCUGAGGCACGAAAGCGUGGGGAUCAAACAGGAUUAGAUACCCUGGUAGUCCACGCCCUAAACCGAUGGAUACUCGACAUACGCGAUACACUGUGUGUGUCUGAGCGAAAGCAUUAAGUAUCCCACCUGGGAAGUACGACCGCAAGGUUGAAACGUCAAAGAGUAGUAGGACGNGNGAGNGCGACGGAGGACACAGGGAGGGAGNGG
rnacentral:rRNA from 1 species